CCUUCGUCUUCGGCUUCCCGGUCCGCUCGUUCUUCGUCUCCAUCGCCUCUCUCGAUCCUUCGUCGGCGAGGUCGGUAAUUCCCAUUUCUUUUAGUUAACAUUGAAGCCCAGCCAUCCGCUAGCGUUGUCUUCUCCUUUCUUCCUUCUUCCAAACAAUUCCAUGCCCCCGACCUUCUUCCCUUCCUCAACCCUCCUCAAGGUUGCUGUCUCCUUCCCCUCCCGCCACCAUCACCCUCCCUCCCCCCUUCGUCAUGGAAGAAAGCACAACCAGCAGCAGCACAAAUCGGCUCAUAGAAUCGUCCGUUUCAACGCCGCUGCCG
rnacentral:lncRNA from 1 species